rnacentral:lncRNA from 1 species
UUAUGGCCGGCCAAAGCAAGAACAAAGGAAGAAAAGAAAGAACAAAAACCCUAGAGUGAAAAUUCAAGAGAAAAUUAGUGGAUUUCAAGUAAUAAAGCAAUCAAAGGUAAAAUUUCUUUAUUUUGACUUGUGAUCUACCUUUCCCAUACAUUCUUUUGCAAUUUCCAUGGUUGAAACACAUGAUUUCAUGAUGGGUCUCUUGCUGGCCGAACACUUAGAGGGAGGUUUUGAUGCUUGAUUUGGUUAGAUUUCAAUGUGUUUUAGUGUUUUUAGUUAGUUAGUGAUGUGUAGCAUGAAAAGCCAACAAGAAAAAUUCACUUCCGCCCAUCACCCAUCAUUGGCCAAAUCUUCCAUGUAGAGUGUGGAUGGUGGAUUUGAUUUUAUUUCAAGUGAAUUGGUUAGGAAAUGAUGAAUUACAAUGAGAAAAUCAAGUCGGAAAAAUCAUAGCAUUGAUGCACCCACCAUGGUCGAAAUUCCCAAGAGAAAAUAUGAAGAUGAUUUUGCUAAAUUUUAUUCUAUUUGGCUUGUGUUUGAUGGUUUGGAGAAUUGGAAGAAAAAUGGAGUUAAUUGAAGUUAAAUUGGACAUAUUGGCCAAUUAAUCGAGUGAUAGAUCGAAUUAGGACAAUACCGUUUUAUUUAGGUACACAAUUGAAUUUGUGUAGAACACCGUGUUUAGAUGAUAAUUCAAACAAUUUACAUCUCAUUUCAUGCAUUAGUAUAAAGCCUGAAUUGGUUUUACAACGGUUUAGCACAAAUGUAGUAAAUGGCUUAUUGUGCAUUAUGUCUAGGUGGUGAGCUUUCUGGUAAAAGUAAAGAGAUAGUUACCCGAGGAUCAAGAAUCGGAGUACUCGAAACUCGAUUUCCAUUACAGUGAGUAACCUUAUUAUCGUCUUAAUUAUCUAAAGUAGUUUUUAUUGGUUUUUUGUGAUUUUAUAGAAAAUGAGUUGAAAUGGUAAAUCCUUAUGUUUUAUAAGCAAAAGGUGAUUAAAUGAAAUGAUUUUAUAAAAUUGUCUUGAAAUUGAAAGAUGGUUUUGAAAAUGGAGUAAUUGGAGACUAAUUGCUGUGUUAUAAAUCAUGGUUUGAAUUGAAUGGCUUAUGAUAAUAUUGGCAUGAAUGGUUGAAUUGGUAAAUGUGUUGAAAAUGUAUGAACUGUUGAUUUACCUUGAGAGGUUGUAAAAUAAAAUAAUUGUCAUGUCAUGCUAUCGCAAAUUUUAUUGUAUGGUGGGUUAUGUGGAUCAGCUUAUUAGAGGGGCACGAAAUCCCGUUAUAUCGUACCUCGAUCGGAGAGGCGUGUAGGGUAACUCUCGAGGUAAAACUUUAGAGUUCACUUCACGUCAAACCACCAAGUGAGGGUGAACUCAGCCAACGCCAAGGAACGGCUAUGUUUUCAAAAUAAAAACAUGAUUUAUGCGUACAUGACUUUUUAACAGCCUUUGUGGACUCGGUUGGGAUAGCCCCAGGCCAAGGUAUCCCCGACAACAGAGUAUGAGAAUGAUUUUGGCACGAGCCAAAGUUUUAAGAAAUUCAUAAGCCAUGUUGAUUACUCGAUUUAUAUGAAUUGAUUUUAUAAUAAUUGAAAUGAGUUGAAAGGUGAUGAAUUACAGUAUGAUGAUCUAUUUUAAUCUGUCUCCAUUUAUUCAGCUUUAGAUUUUUUAGAUGGUAUUUGUUUACUCACUGGGAUUAUAUAAUCUCACCACCCUCCUUUCCACUCAUUUCAGGCUCAGGAUAGUCGGUAAAUAGCUCAUUUCGUUGAGGGCUACAGUUGGACUUGCAUCUGCAAAAACUGUAGGUUUACUGCUUUUGAUACUUUUGGUCGUUCGUGGGCCCACGUGUCACUGUAAAUUAAACUUAUGCUUUGGUUAUCUAUAUUAUAGUAUGUAUGAAUUUAUUUAGCUUUUACGCUACAAAAAAAUUAUUUACCGGUAACUCUAUAAAUAUUGUUUUAUAAGAAAAUAUAAUAUUUUAUUGAAUAUUUUUAUUAUAUUCAAAUAGUUAUAGUUUCACUUUAAAUGAAUGUUUUAGACAUCUAAACUUAUUUUGAUUAUGAAAUAUGUGUUUUCCAC